rnacentral:rRNA from 1 species
GAUGAACGCUGGCGGCGUGCCUAAUACAUGCAAGUCGAGCGAACACACGAUGAGCUUGCUCCUUUGCCGUUAGCGGCGGACGGGCGAGUAACACGUGCAUAACCUACUUCUAAUUCUGGGAUAAUUUCGGGAAACAGGAGCUACUAACGCAUCAUAUAUUGUACCGCAUGGUUCAAUAGAGAAUGACGGUUUUGCUGUCACUUAUAGAUGGUUCCGCGCCGCAUUAGCUAGUUGGUAAGGUAACGGCCUACCAAGGCGACGAUGCGUAGCCGACCUGAGAGGGUGAUCGGCCACACUGGAACUGAGACACGGUCCAGACUCCUACGGGAGGCAGCAGUAGGGAAUCUUCGGCAAUGGGCGAAAGCCUGACGGAGCAACGCCGCGUGAGUGAUGAAGGUCUUCGGAUCGUAAAACUCUUUUGUUAGGGAAGAACAAAUGUAUAAUUAAAUAUCGACGUCUUGACGGUACCUAAUCAAAAAGCCACGGCUAACUACGUG